rnacentral:tRNA from 1 species
GCCGGGGUGGCGGAAUAGGUAGACGCAAGGGACUUAAAAUCCCUCGACGCUUUGCGUCGUGCCGGUUCAAAUCCGGCCCUCGGCA